UAGGGAAUCUUCGGCAAUGGGGGCAACCCUGACCGAGCAACGCCGCGUGAGUGAAGAAGGUUUUCGGAUCGUAAAGCUCUGUUGUAAGAGAAGAACGUGUGUGAGAGUGGAAAGUUCACACAGUGACGGUAACUUACCAGAAAGGGACGGCUAACUACGUGCCAGCAGCCGCGGUAAUACGUAGGUCCCGAGCGUUGUCCGGAUUUAUUGGGCGUAAAGCGAGCGCAGGCGGUUUAAUAAGUCUGAAGUUAAAGGCAGUGGCUUAACCAUUGUUCGCUUUGGAAACUGUUAAACUUGAGUGCAGAAGGGGAGAGUGGAAUUCCAUGUGUAGCGGUGAAAUGCGUAGAUAUAUGGAGGAACACCGGGGGCGAAAGCGGCUCUCUGGUCUGUAACUGACGCUGAGGCUCGAAAGCGUGGGGAGCAAACAGG
rnacentral:rRNA from 1 species